GGCGUGCUUAACACAUGCAAGUCGAACGAUGAUGCCCAGCUUGCUGGGUGGAUUAGUGGCGAACGGGUGAGUAACACGUGAGUAACCUGCCCCUGACUCUGGGAUAAGCGUUGGAAACGACGUCUAAUACUGGAUAUGAUCACUGGCCGCAUGGUCUGGUGGUGGAAAGAUUUUUUGGUUGGGGAUGGACUCGCGGCCUAUCAGCUUGUUGGUGAGGUAAUGGCUCACCAAGGCGACGACGGGUAGCCGGCCUGAGAGGGUGACCGGCCACACUGGGACUGAGACACGGCCCAGACUCCUACGGGAGGCAGCAGUGGGGAAUAUUGCACAAUGGGCGAAAGCCUGAUGCAGCAACGCCGCGUGAGGGAUGACGGCCUUCGGGUUGUAAACCUCUUUUAGUAGGGAAGAAGCGAAAGUGACGGUACCUGCAGAAAAAGCACCGGCUAACUACGUGCCAGCAGCCGCGGUAAUACGUAGGGUGCAAGCGUUGUCCGGAAUUAUUGGGCGUAAAGAGCUCGUAGGCGGUUUGUCGCGUCUGCUGUGAAAUCCCGAGGCUCAACCUCGGGCUUGCAGUGGGUACGGGCAGACUAGAGUGCGGUAGGGGAGAUUGGAAUUCCUGGUGUAGCGGUGGAAUGCGCAGAUAUCAGGAGGAACACCGAUGGCGAAGGCAGAUCUCUGGGCCGUAACUGACGCUGAGGAGCGAAAGCAUGGGGAGCGAACAGGAUUAGAUACCCUGGUAGUCCAUGCCGUAAACGUUGGGCGCUAGAUGUAGGGACCUUUCCACGGUUUCUGUGUCGUAGCUAACGCAUUAAGCGCCCCGCCUGGGGAGUACGGCCGCAAGGCUAAAACUCAAAGGAAUUGACGGGGGCCCGCACAAGCGGCGGAGCAUGCGGAUUAAUUCGAUGCAACGCGAAGAACCUUACCAAGGCUUGACAUACACCGGAAACGGCCAGAGAUGGUCGCCCCCUUGUGGUCGGUGUACAGGUGGUGCAUGGUUGUCGUCAGCUCGUGUCGUGAGAUGUUGGGUUAAGUCCCGCAACGAGCGCAACCCUCGUUCUAUGUUGCCAGCGGGUUAUGCCGGGGACUCAUAGGAGACUGCCGGGGUCAACUCGGAGGAAGGUGGGGAUGACGUCAAAUCAUCAUGCCCCUUAUGUCUUGGGCUUCACGCAUGCUACAAUGGCCGGUACAAAGGGCUGCGAUACCGUAAGGUGGAGCGAAUCCCAAAAAGCCGGUCUCAGUUCGGAUUGAGGUCUGCAACUCGACCUCAUGAAGUCGGAGUCGCUAGUAAUCGCAGAUCAGCAACGCUGCGGUGAAUACGUUCCCGGGCCUUGUACACACCGCCCGUCAAGUCAUGAAAGUCGGUAACACCCGAAGCCGGUGGCCUAACCCUGCGGAAGGAGCCGUCGAAGGUGGGAUCGGUGAUUAGGACUAAGUCGUAACA
rnacentral:rRNA from 1 species